rfam:Brassica oleracea var. oleracea cultivar TO1000 chromosome C9, whole genome shotgun sequence
AACCCAUGGUGAGGGCAUUCCCUUCGGUAUUCCUUGUAACGCUCCCAAGCAUCAUAGAAGGGCUUGUUAGUCUUUUGCUUGAAGUUAGAGAUUUUAUGCCUCUGAGCU